UUGCACAAGUUCCAAAUGUGAAAUAAAAUUGGCUGUCAAAAUACAUCAAAUGAAACGUUUAAACGGUUUAACCAUCGCGCUUAUCAGUUUUAUCAAUAAUAAAAACCUGUAUGGCUGUAUGCUUAAAAUUUUUUGUGAAGGUUGAUAAAAAGCUGUUGAGAGCAGCAUUUCCUACAACUUGGUUUCGUUCUGGCGUUAAAUGCUAUCGGAAGUUACGUGCUAUAAAUAUUGUUAUAAAUUUCUAUGUUAUACUCCAUCUUUGUUGUUAUGAACGUUUCUCCUUAACAAUUAUAUAUUUUUUUCUGUGUAAUUUCAUAAUAAUUAUUUUUCGAGAUUGGAGUUUAAAGAGGAAUUGUUGAAACUGAGUUUUUAAUGAAUAAAUAGUCUGAAAACUAAUAAGUAAUUAUGUGAAAAUAUUUUUUUCAGGCUACUGCCACCUUGAGUGCUAGAUGAAUUGCAAAUGUUUACAAAGGUUCAUAUAUGCGUGCACAUACUGACAGGAUGAAAAGAAGGUGAUAAAGAUAAAAAUAAAGAGCUAAGAAGGCCAAGCAUGCACAAGAAAUAUCUGAAGACAAAUACUCUAUAGAACAAGGUUCUACUGAAGCUCACUUGCUUCGCAGAGACAGUGUUAUGUACACAAAUGGGCUUUCUAUGAUGUACACAAAUGGGCUUUCUAUUAUCGUUAUGCACGUCAAAAAAAAUUUGGGUAUAACUGUUAGUCGCCAAACCAUUCAAAGAUUAAUGCUUCCACCCCGAAAAAAAAAUACAGCAAAUAAAAACUAAAAAUGUCUGAUAGAAGCACAUGUUCCUCCAAAAAGAAAUACAAAAAAAUAAAAACACAUGACAACUUUCAUUUCACUUGUGCUCAAGUUCGUGUAGUCAACGAAAUGGGAUAUCUUUGCAAAUAAAACACACUUAUGCUGUUCGUGAACAAUAAAAAUAAAGUUGAUGUGGGUAUUCCAGCAAACAGGAGAAAAACAAAAAUACACACUUUUCAACAAAGCACCCAAUUGUAGAGAUCAUGACUUUUAAAAUCCAAACUCAAAA